rnacentral:rRNA from 1 species
ACGGGUGCGUAACGCGUGGGAAUCUGCCCCUUGGUUCGGAAUAACAGUUGGAAACGACUGCUAAUACCGGAUGAUGACGUAAGUCCAAAGAUUUAUCGCCGAGGGAUGAGCCCGCGUAGGAUUAGGUAGUUGGUGUGGUAAAGGCGCACCAAGCCGACGAUCCUUAGCUGGUCUGAGAGGAUGAUCAGCCACACUGGGACUGAGACACGGCCCAGACUCCUACGGGAGGCAGCAGUGGGGAAUAUUGGACAAUGGGCGAAAGCCUGAUCCAGCAAUGCCGCGUGAGUGAUGAAGGCCUUAGGGUUGUAAAGCUCUUUUACCCGGGAUGAUAAUGACAGUACCGGGAGGAUAAGCUCCGGCUAACUCCGUGCCAGCAGCCGCGGUAAUACGGAGGGAGCUAGCGUUAUUCGGAAUUACUGGGCGUAAAGCGCACGUAGGCGGCUUUGUAAGUAAGAGGUGAAAGCCCAGAGCUCAACUCUGGAAUUGCCUUUUAGACUGCAUCGCUUGAAUCAUGGAGAGGUCAGUGGAAUUCCGAGUGUAGAGGUGAAAUUCGUAGA